UCGCUAGUAAUCGCGGAUCAGCAUGCCGCGGUGAAUACGUUCCCGGGCCUUGUACACACCGCCCGUCACACCAUGAGAGUCGGGGACACCCGAAGUCCGUAGUCUAACCGCAAGGGGGACGCGGCCGAAGGUGGAUUCGAUAAUUGGGGUGAAGUCGUAACAAGGUAAC
rnacentral:rRNA from 1 species